rnacentral:rRNA from 1 species
UACGGUAGGGUGCAAGCGUUGUCCGGAAUUAUUGGGCGUAAAGAGCUCGUAGGCGGUUUGUCGCGUCUGCUGUGAAAACCCGAGGCUCAACCUCGGGCCUGCAGUGGGUACGGGCAGACUAGAGUGCGGUAGGGGAGAUUGGAAUUCCUGGUGUAGCGGUGGAAUGCGCAGAUAUCAGGAGGAACACCGAUGGCGAAGGCAGAUCUCUGGGCCGUAACUGACGCUGAGGAGCGAAAGCAUGGGGGAGCGAACAGG